UACGUAGGGUGCAAGCGUUUAAUCGGAAUUACUGGGCGUAAAGCGUGCGUAGGCGGGAAUGUAAGUCGGGCGUGAAAUCCCCAGGCUCAACCUGGGAACUGCACUCGAAACUGCGUUUCUUGAGUAUCGGAGAGGAAAGCGGAAUUCCUGGAUGUAGAGGUGAAAUUCGUAGAUAUCAGGAGGAACGACCGGUGGCGAAGGGCGGGUCUACUGGGCCGUAACUGACGCUGAGGAGCGAAAGCAUGGGGGAGCGAAACAGG
rnacentral:rRNA from 1 species